CCCAGGGGAAGUGAUACCCCCAAGGUCACACAGCUAGGGAGGUGGGAUUCAAACCUAGGUCUUCCUGGCUCCAAGUUCCCCACCCACUUUUUCCUGGACUUACUCUCUGAGGGCUAAUGUAAUGAUAAUUUGUGAACCCAUGGCUUCAUGAGUGUGUAGAUACCUGUGCUGACCCAAACUGUAAGCCCUCCAUGUCUUCAUGAGCUGUUGUGGCUGAUUAUUUUGUCACUGGUGGACAGGCUUUGGGUGAUGGACCUCCCCAAGCUCACCCUGCCUUGUCCUCUGGUAACAGGCAAUCCCCAGGCCCAUAUGUAAAGAUUUUCCAGGCUGGGAGAGCACAAAGAAACAACAUCCGGUCCUUCUGGCACCAGGAAGCAAUGGUGACCUUCAUAGAGGCCUCCUGGAAACCCAAGGCCUUCACCCAAGGGAUGGCUCUGAUGGCUCCAUGGCAACCAGCCAAGGGAGGUGGCCUUUGGACACCUGUUUGAGGUGAGAUUAAAUGGCCUUCUGGAGAAGGGUUUUCCUCGGCACCAUUCUGGGAGUCAGGUAACAGGCAUCAUGAUGGAGGCGCUAUGAUAGGUAGCGGAGAGCCUGAUGCUCAGAGCUUGUGGGACUGACCGUGUGCAGGCUGUGUCACCUUUGGCCUCAGCUAAUUCAACUGUAAUGAGGGGCCUGGACUAGAGGAUCCCAUAAGCUCCUUCCAGAUCUACAUGCUAUAAGCCUCAUUCUGGAGAAUAACUCAGGCUUUGAAAAGAGCUAGUGAUCUGCCCAUGUGUGCCUAUACACAGAAUCUCAGGAACCCCCAGAAUGCCUUGGAAAGUCUGCACCCACCAUUAGACUGCAAGCUCCUUGAAGGCAGGGACUCUCUUCUGUCUUCUGCAUCUCCAGCAUUUAGCACAGUGCCUGGCAUACGGUAGGUGCUUCAUAAAUGCUAGUUGUCUUAUGACAUAAAUUCAGAGCCGGAAGUGGCCUGAGAGGCCUCUCAUUUUAUAGACGGGAACUAGGGCCAUUGAGGUCUCUGGUCGCUACAGGGGGGAGACCAGGGCCCAUGGGCAGCCAGGCCAAGGUCACUGGUCCCUGCAGGGGGAGAACCAUUUCUCACAACCAUAUCGCUGAUGGCAGAGAGCCGCACCUUUGCAGGGGAGCCCUGCUUGAUGUCAUCCAGCCUCUUGGAGCACAAAGGACAAACAGCAAUCAGUCGUGUUUCUACAUUUCUUCUCAUUCGAAAGGACAAGGGGGAUGCUGUCAGAAAAACCUGGGAAGACUUAGAUGAACUGAUGCAGAGGGAGAUGAGCAGAAGCAGGACAACGACACUGCAAAGACCAGCAAUCUUGAAAGACGUGGGGUUUCUGAUUAGGAUGGUUUCAGAAGGCUGAUGAUGAAAUAAAUACACUGCUCACUUCUAGAGAGAGCUAUGGAGCUCAGAGCACACGGAGACCU